UACGUAGGGGGCUAGCGUUGUCCGGAAUCAUUGGGCGUAAAGCGCGCGUAGGCGGCCAGAUAAGUCCGGUGUGAAAGUCACAGGCUCAACCUGUGAAUGCCGCUGGAAACUGUCUGGCUAGAGUCCGGAAGGGGCGAGUGGAAUUCCUGGUGUAGCGGUGAAAUUCGUAGAUAUCGGGAGGAAUACCAGUGGCGAAGGCGGCGACCUGGGCCAAUACUGACGCUGAGGUGCGAAAGCGUGGGGAGCAAACAGG
rnacentral:rRNA from 1 species